GACGAAUGCUGGCUGCGUGCUUAACACAUGCAAGUCGAACGGUGAAGGGGAGCUUGCUCCCCGGAUCAGUGGCGAACGGGUGAGUAACACGUGGGCAACCUGCCCCUCACUCUGGGGUAACUCCGGGAAACCGGGGCUAAUACCGGAAACGACCGGGAGCGACAUCGCUCCUGGCGGAAAGAACUUCGGUGAGGGAUGGGCCCGCGGCCUAUCAGCUAGUUGGUGGGGUAACGGCCCACCAAGGCGACGCCGGGUAGCCGGCCUGAGAGGGCGACCGGCCACACUGGGACUGAGACACGGCCCAGACUCCUACGGGAGGCAGCAGUGGGGAAUAUUGCGCAAUGGGCGAAAGCCUGACGCAGCGACGCAGCGUGAGGGACGAAGGCCUUCGGGUUGUAAACCUCUUUCAGCGGGGACGAAGCGAAAGUGACGGUACCCGCAGAAGAAGCACCGGCUAACUACGUGCCAGCAGCCGCCGUAA
rnacentral:rRNA from 1 species